UCCCAAAUUUGAUCAUCUGUGUACGCUUCAAGAGGGUCCAGGUUACUCCGUACAGUCCCUUCGAACAUGGUAGGAUCCUGAGGAAUAAUGCUUAGUCUUGAUCGCAAGUCAUGCAAACCAAUCAAUGAGAUAUGGAUGCCAUCUAUCCCAAUCUGACCAGCUGCAGGUUCAACAAUCCGGAAAAUUGUUUGGAUGAGAGUUGAUUUACCACUGCCUGUUCUCCCCACAAUACCAGUUUUCUUCCCUCCUGGGAAAGUACAUGUGAGACCUUGCAACACGAGUGGCAUAUGAGGGGCAUACCGAACCUACAUUAAAUCACUUCUUUUAAUACCAUAUGCCAAACAUGAAUCAGAAUCAUCAAUUGAAAAAAAUCCAGAUUACCUGCAAAUUAUCAAUAUCAACUUCUCCAUGUGAUGGCCAAGAAGGGUCUGGCCGGUUUUCAUCUACUACAAGAGGAGGCUCACUAGGAAUAGACAUGUAUUGGAGUAUUCUCUCUACUGAUAUCAUUUCGUUCUCUAGACUACAAAUAUUCCAUAUCACCAUAGCUUGCAGCAUGUUUAGAUUGAGUCCAUAUGUCACAGCCAAACCAGCAAUGGCUUUGAAAAUGGAAAAGUAUAAGGAAUAGGUGAAUCACAAGCUCAUAAAAUCAUCGUCAAAGAGAAGAAAGAUGAAUAGCUAUAUGAGACAGGAGCUACUAACCUGGAUCGAUUCCCUUCGGAAAUGAGAUUAAGAAAAACAAAGAGAAAGCAAAUGUAAGAGAAGAGAACAUAUCCAAGCGGAAGCAAAGCCAUUCUGUUGCCCCAGCACUAUGAAAAUCCGGCCGAAAAUAUGCAUCCGUCAAUGUCAUAUUCAUUUCUUGGAAUCUUGAUUGUUGACCAAAGCUUCUGAUAGUUGUCGAUCCAGAAAUUGUUUCAGCAAAAUGUUGGAUAACUGGAGCUUCGCAUACUCCAAUCAAUCGUGAAAGUUCUCUUGCAGAUGGGAGGUAGUAUUGCUGCAAAAAGAAAAAAAAAAUUGUGAGAACUCUGUCUCUAUUUGUUAACAAAAAUAGGCAAUAUUCAUAAAGAAUUGAAAGUUUUUGUUGUUUUAAUUUCUUUUAUGUUAAGCAUGUUAAAGGAAAAAAAUUUUAAAUGGGAAUGAGCAGGCAAUAAAAAAAAUAUUGGUAUAAGAAACACAAAAGGAGUUGCAUUAGCAGGCAUCACAUGCUGAGGGAUUAUUUGGCAUAUAAACAAGUGUUUUAAGAGAUAAUGACGAUUACCUGGUACCAGAUGCAGGCAGCGAUUGCAGGGAUAAAGAUAAUAAAAACUUGCCAAGCUACCUGAGACAUCACUGCAAUGGUUCCCAGAAGCCGGAUCAUUGAGAAUGCAACAGAUGCAACUUGAUUUGGAAUUUGCAUAUCCACUGCACUUUGGUCUGUAGAAGCCUAUUAGGGCAGACACAUAUUACUGUGAACCAGAUCUUUCUGAUUUUCAAUGGACUAAAGAGACAGAAAAAUACAGAAAAACACUUGAAUGAUUGAUGAAGCCUUCAAAAUUCACAUGCGGUGCAAAUGCAAAUAUUUAUGGAACUAAUUGAAGAAAAUACAAGACAAAAUUAACUUACUCUGUUGAGGAUUCGCCCACUUGGAGUUGCAUCAAAAAAGGACAUAGGUGCACGGAAAAUGCAAAAAUGCAUUUUAUUGAAUAGUAUAGUUGCUGUCUUGUACCCUGCUGUUACAAGAAGUGUGGCUCUGCCCAGGAUGCAAAAAGAACUUGCAAAAGCCAAAGCUACAUAGACAAUUAUUAAUGUGAACCCACUAACAACAGGUUUGACAUCUUUUGAUGCUGGAGUUGCCCAAGCCAUCCAAUAGUUGCUACCAAUUUGAAGGAGCUGAAAGAGAAUCUGCGCCAGCAAAAUAAGUGGCACCAGGGCUCCUCCAUAUGCAGUUGUUAUAUAUUUCCAGUAUACUGGGAAUCCAACUUUACCUUUUACUCUUUCUUCUUCUUGAACAAGUUGUCCUUUGGGUUCAGCAAUCUCAUCUUUAUUUUCUUCUUUUGAGAGAGCUCCAUUGCUAGUGCUCAUGCCACCAUUAUCCUUGCUGAUACUUUCAUUUCCAGAAGUUGACCCUCCCUGUUUGGAAUCAAGUACCGAUAAAGCUGUCUUAUGUGCACCAACAAGUUCUAUAAAAUCUGACCCUGAAUUGAGAAUGUCGUUGUACUUUCCAGCCUGGGUGAUCCUUCCAUCUUUCAUGACCUGAUCAGAAGGUACAAGUUGAAUCCAAUUAUUCCAUUAGUUGAGAUAUAAAUCCCAGAAGCAUUGAAGAAUAAAAAUGUAAUCACUCACCAAUAUUAGAUCUGCAGCUGGUAAGAACUCAACUUGAUGAGUAACAUAAAUAACAGUUUUCGAACUCAAUAGGCCAAGCAAAACCUCCUAUAAUGAAUGAUCAAAAAAAUAUACUUUAUGAAAAGUGCCUUUCUUUAGCCAUGCGUAAAAAGGAAUAGAAAAAUAGCACAAAGAACGUAACUAGAAACAAAUCAUCGCCUGCACCAUGUCCAAUGGAAUUGGUAAGGAGAAUCAUUCACCUUAAAUAGAUGAGAUCCUGUAUGUGCAUCAACAGCACUAAAUGGAUCGUCAAAUAGAUAGAUAUCAGCAUCUUGGUAGAGAGCUCUAGCAAUCUGUAUUCUCUGUUUUUGUCCACCACUAAGAUUGAUACCCCUUUCACCUAUAACCGUUUGAUCACCGAAUGAGAGGAUUUCCAGGUCCUUCUUCAGGGAACAUGCAUCCAAUAUCCUUUCGUACAUUUCUCGGUCCAUUGAUUUACCAAAUAAUAUAUUCUCCUCAAUCUUGCCACUAAGUAUCCAUGGUGACUGAGCAACAUAAGCCAUUUCCCCACAUAGCUUAAGUGUCCCCGAGAUCUUGGGUACCUCUCCCAAAAUGCAGGAGAGUAAGCUCGACUUGCCUGAACCAACGGUACCACAUACAGCAACCCUCAUACCAUGGAAAACUUUCAAAUUAAUGUCUUUUAGUGUUGGAUUUGGAGAAGACAAGUCCCAGGAGAAAUUCCCAUCAGCUAUUUCUACUGCUGUGUCACAACUACCCCUUGGAAGCCUCUCUACAACAUCAGACUGCAAGUCAUCAAGACGUAGAAAAGAUGCAAUUCUAUCAAGGGAAACCUUGGUCUCAACCAUCAUAGAAAUUGUGUCGGGAAGAUUAAAGAUUGGCUCUUGAAGAACCUGCAGAGUUGCAAGUGUGGAUAAGAUCUUUCCAGACUCAAGUGGGAUUCCCAUAAGCACACAAGUGCCAAAAGUGGCCACAGACACAAGAGUAGGAGCGCCCCAGGAGACAAAACUGACAAUUGCUGAAGUGUAAUCGAAUUUCUUCAACCAACCUGUCUCAGUGUUUCGGAGCUCAAUAAUCUUAGUCAAAAACUUCAUUUCCCAUGCCUGGAGCUUCAGGAUUUUCAUAUUCCUUAAAAUUUCAGAUGUCGUUUUCAUUCUUUCGUCUUUAGCUUCCAUCAAUUUGUCCUGAAAUUUCUCCUCUAAUCUCCCUAAUGGAUAAUUGAACAACAUGACAAUAAUAGUUGCAACAAGAGCAGCAACUGAUGCAAGCCCAAUAUUUUUAUACAAUAUGAACAAGGCCAAACUAACUUGGAUAAUGACCAGCCAAGAAUCAUGCAUGUACCAGCAAAACCUAGGAAUUCGUUCGGCGUCAACAGUCAUAAAAUUGAUCAUCUCCCCACUAGUGUGGCCCUGCUUUGACUGGCAUGAAAGGGUCAAGCCCUUGUUGAAGAUCAUAGCCAUAAGUGAUGAACGCAUCCUAAUUCCAAUUUGCUGCACCCUAAAGAACAAGUGCCUCUGUGAGAGGCACUCUACAACCAUUCCAACCAAAAAGGCAGAAGCUAAAAAAUAUCCCUGAUUUUUAAACCGUUCUUGCCCAUUAAGGCAUUGAACGAACUCAUCUAUGAGGUACGGACCAACAUAAGAAGCUAUUGUGUAUAACAGUGCAAGAAAAGCUGUAUACAGAAUUUCUUUCCAGGCUAAGAAAAACAAUGCCUUGACAAGCUUGAACAUAGAAACUCCACUAGUAGCACCACUAUAUGACUCAAGUUUAUUUUUGAAGAUUGGAAAUGACCCCAUUACACUAUCCUUACUAUGAAGUUGAGGAACAUCUUCAAGGUCUAUAGUUUUCUUAUUACCAAGAGCAAUUAAGGAACCCAUCCAAGAGAAGGUAAGAAAGCUUAAAAUACCAGCAUUUGAAUAAGGAGUUACAAAAUCACCUCCUCUAGAUUUAUUUAAUUCUAAAUUAUUACCAUUUAAAUUAUCAUUCAAUAGAGGUUCUUCAAGAGGGGUAUUUUGGCCCUUAAUUUUCAAGAAUCCCACAUAACAAAGAAACAAACCAGCAAACACAGAGACUGUAUCUGAUACUAAAUACUGGACUUGGGAGGACACAUGCUCAUGUUUUCUAGAAAGAACAAUGUCCACGACAAGAAAAUAACAAGAAAUUGAAAAAUAAAAGCCCCACCAAACUCUCAAUGGAAAUGGGAACUUAAUACCAGGUGAAUUAAAAAAUUGGGUAUGCAAAUAUACAGAAAGUGCACCCCAAGAGAGAGUUCUAACAGCUAAAUCCAAAAGAGUAACUACAUCAUCAUCAGACCAACCAUUUCUAUACCAAUAGAAAUAGCUCAACAAACACCAGACAAAAUCGAACGCAAAAACACCCAAACAACAGAAUAGAGCGAGUUUGUAACACAAUUCGCUCUUGUUAUUGUCAAACUUCUCUUUAAUAUCUUCACUAUCACCCAUCCUAAGCUUCUUAAAGAGAAAGGAGAGUAAAAACACAAAUAACAAAACUAGGUGUAAAGAACCAGAAAUUCCGCGAAGGAAAAUGGGCUUGAGUAGAAAAUCAGUGCCUGAAUACAUUAAUGAAGGUGAAUUAGAAAGAAAAGAUACCAUCGUACUCCUUAUUGAAUCAGCUAGUUCCAUUUUUCAGAGGCAGGAAAAGUCGCAGCAAACUUAACAGAGAGGUAAAAACCCAAGCGCGAGGUGUGAAAUCAGACAAAAACUAUACAGCAGUUGUGCAUCUUUUUACUGGAAAAUCACAAUGAAUUUUCCCGGCAAGUUGACUUUUUUUUUAGGACAAUAAGUCUCCCCAGAAUACAGAAAAUGACAAGAUGAUGAGGUCAUUGAUAUAUAAUAAUUGAUCUGAUCAACACUUUUUUAAUAAUCACACACCCAAAGUCUGCAACAACUUGUGUUUAGAUUCCUUAAAUCACGUUCCAAAAAUACUCGGUUUUACAAAAAAAAUUAAUUUUUAUAUUUAGAAAUGAGAUUAGUCAUGAAAAAAUAAUUUUAAAUAUUGAAAAUAACGUCAUUUUAAUCUUGAUGUCACAGGAAUUUUAAUUUUUUUUAAAAGGAAGAAUCCAAUUAAUUAUAAUGGAUUUGUUGUCAAAUUUUAUUAUUAAAUAUUUGUAUAAAAAAUAAAUUAAUUGAAUUUUUCUGAAUUUACAUGUUGUCUAGAUAAGAAAUUUAAUUUUUUUCAGUAAAUUUGAAUUUAGUUGAAAUUUUACAUAAUCCUUCACCUUCACCUUUUCCUUUUUUUUUUCUUUUUCAAAAACUAAAUAUAUUCAGAUUUCAAUAAUUAAAUUUAGAUCAAUAUAAAUAGUUUAAGAACAUAAUAAAGUUCAUUUAUCUUGUAAUAAAACUGGAUGAUGAAGUUAAAAACUCUACUGCUCUUAAUCACUGUGGAAACCAAUCAUGAACUGCAUCCACACUCUUCAGCCUCGUUGGAGUUUUGAUCUUGCUGUUAAUAUUCUGAUACAAGUUCUGCAAAUGACGAUGAAUUUGUUUUCUAAUAACCUAGUUGGAAAGUCGAAUUCCUCGAUGAGUCCUGCACAACGAUUGAUUAUAUGGAAACAUAAGAACAAUGUCCAAUGUAUAUAAUUUAAAUUACAGAAACGUACUUACCAUGACUUAGAAGCAGAACCGUGUCGCUAUCAAGAACAGAAGUUAUUCGAUGUGCAAUGGUUAUAACUGUACAGUCAGAGAAUAAAUCCCAGAAGCAUUGAAGAAUAAAAAUGUAAUCACUAAUCACUCAUCAAUAUUAAAUCUGCAGCUGGUAAGAACCCAACUUGAUGAGUAACAUAAAUAACAGUUUUUUAACUCAGUAGGCCAAGAAAAACCUCCUAUAAUGUAAUGAUCAAACAAAUAUUCUUUAUUAGAAGUGCCAUUCUUUUGCCAUGAAUAAAGAAGAACAGAAAAAUAGCACAAAGAACGUAACUAGAAACAAAUUGUGGCCUGCACCAUGUCCAGUGGAAUUGGUAAGGAGAAUCAUUCACCUUAAACAGAUGAGAUCCUGUAUGUGCAUCAACAGCACUAAAAGGAUCAUCGAAUAGAAAGAUAUCAGCAUCUCGGUAGAGAGCUCACGCAAUAUGUAUUCUCUGUUUUUGUCCACCACUCAGAUUGAUACCCCUUUCAUCUAUAAGUGUUUGGUCACCAAAUGACAGGAUUUCCAGGUCAUUCUUCAGGGAACAUGCCUCCAAAAUCCUUUCGUACCUUUCUCUGUCCAUUGAUUUCCAAAUAAUAUGUUCUCUUCAAUCUUGCCACUCUGUAUCCAUGUUGAUUGAGCAACAUAGGCCUUUUCCCCAAAUAGCUUAAAGUGUCCUAGAGAUCUUGGGUACCUCUCCCAAAAUGCAGGAGAGUAAGCUCGAUUUGGAGAAGAUAAGUCCCAAGAGAAAUUCCCAUCAUCUAGUUCUACUGCUGUGUCAUAACUAUCCCUUGGAAUCCUCUCUACAACAUCAGACUACAAGUCAUCAAGACAUAGGAAAGAUGCAAUUCUAUCAACGGAAACCCUGGUCUCAACCAUCGUAGAAAUUGUGUCAGGAAGAUUAAAGAUUAGCUACUGAAGAAUCCGGAAUGUUGCAAGUGCAGAUAAGAUCUUUCCAGACUCGAGUGGGAUUCCCAUAAGGACACAAGUGCCAAAAGUAGCCAUAGACACGAGAGUAGGAGCACCCUAGGAGACAAAACUGACAAUUGCUGUAGUGUAGUUAACUAUCUUCGACCAUCCUGUUUCAGUGUUUCGGAGCUCAAUAAUCUUAGACAAAAACUUCAUUUCCCAUGCCUGCAGCUUUAGGAUUCUCAUAUUCCUUAAAAUAUCAGACAUUGCUUUCAUUCUUUUGUCUUUAGAUUCCAUCAACUUGUCCUGAAAUUUCUCCUCUAAUCUUCUUAAUCGAUAGUUCAACAACAUGACAAUAACAGUUGCAACAAAAGCUGCAAUUGAUGCAAGCCCAAGAUUUUUGUACAAUAUGAAUAAGGCCAAACUAACUUGGAUGAUGACCAGCCAAAUCAUGCAUGAACCAGCAAAAUGUUGCAAUUCGCUUGGUAUCAACAGUCAUCAGAUUGAUGCUAUCCCCACUAGUGCGGCCCUGCUUUGACUGGCAUGAAAGGGUCAAACCCCUGUUGUAGAUCAUAGCCAUAAUUGAUGAACGCAUCCUAAUUACAAUUUGUCGCAACCUAAAGUUCAAGUGCCUCUCUGAGAGGCACUGUACAACCAUUCCAAUUAAAAAGGCAGAAGCCAAAACAUAUCCCUGAUUUUUUAACUGCCCUCGCCCAUUAAGGCAUUGAACAAAUUCAUCAAUGAGGUAUGGACCGGCAUAAGAAGCCAUUGUGUUUAACAGUGAAAGAAAAGCUGUAUACAGAAUCUCUUUCCAAGCUAAGAAGAAAAAUGCCUUGACAAUCUUAAAUGGAGUAACUCCACUAGUAGUACCACUAUAUGACUCGAGUUUAUUUUGGAAAACUGAAAAUGACCCAGUUACACUAUCCACACUAUGAAGUUGAGGAACAUCUUCAAGGUCUAUAGUUUUCUUAUUACCAACAGCAAUUAGGGAACCCAUCCAAGAGAAGGUAAGAAAGCUGAAAAUGCAUUUAAUAAGGAGUAACAAAAUCACCUUCCCUCGAUUUAUUUAAUUCUAAAUCAUUACCACUUAAUUUAUCAUUCAAUAGAGGUUCUUCAAAAUGGGUAAAUUCACCCUUAAUUUCCAAGAACCCCACGUAACAACGAAACAAACCGGCGGACACAGAGACUGCAUCUGAUACUAAAUACCGAACUUGGAAGGACACAUGUUCAUGUUUCUAGAAAGAACAAUGUCCACAGAAAGACAACAAGAAGAAAUUAAAAAAUAAGAGGCCCACCAAACUCUCAGUGGAAAUGGGUACUUAAUAUCAGGUGAAUUAAAAAAUUGGAUAUGCAAAUAGACAGAAAGUGCACCCCAAGAAAGUGUUCUAACCGCUAAAUCCAAAAGCAUAACUACAUCAUAAUCAGACCAACCACUUCUAUGACAAUAGAAGUAGCUCAACAAACACCAGACUAAAUCGAACACAGAAACACUCAAACAACAGGUUAGAGUGAGUUUGUAACACAAUUCCCUCUUGUUAUUAUCAAGCUUCUUUUUCGUAUCUUCACUAUCACCAAUCCUAAGUUUCUUAAAGACAAAAGGGACUAAUAACGCAAAACCAGAAAACCCGUGAAGGAAAAUGGGCAUGAGGAGAAAAUCACUACCUGAAUAUAAUACUGAAGGUGAGUUAGAAAGAAAAGAUACCAUCUACUCCUUAUUGAAUCAGCAAGUUCUAAUUUCUGAGAGGUUUUUUCGAGGUUUUAGCUAAAUAGGUGUUUGCUGGAAAGACUUUAAGAAACAAAAACAAUUAAAAAAAAAAAACUGUGCGUCUUUUUACUGGAAAAAUGCACAGAAUUUUCCCACAAAAUUUGUUCUUUUCUUUCUUCCAGUUCUGCUGUUAUGAACACUUCUCUAAUCUAUUACUUUCCUGCCUUUUUUUUUUUUUCUUUUGCAGUCUCUGGGAAAUGAAGAAGGCGCAAGGCGCUGGUGGACGACUGCUCUCUGUAUUAUAUGGAAACUGUUAAAGGAGCAGAAAUUACAAAUCGCUCUCUCUGUAUUUUCCUUUUAUAGGAUUCUCUCUAAUCUGUCGACGUAUAAGAAUUAUAACCAUUAUAACCGGAAUGUCAGCACUUUUUUCAGGGUUAGGAGUAACAAAGUUGAGAAUUGAUGAUGCUCAACAAUGGUUUAUGAAGAAUUGCUAUUUAUUCGGUUAGCUUCUCAAAACUGGAGUUUGAUCUUGCUGAAUAUUCUGCUACAAGUUGUGCAAACGACGAUGCCUUGUUUUCUAAUAACCGAGUCGGAGAGUCAUAUUCCUCGAUGAGCCCUGCACAAUUAUUACCAAAUAUGAAACUAUAAGAACAUUGCGCAACAUUCAUAAUUUAAAUUACAGCAUUAAAUUUAAUAAUUACUUACCAUUACUUAGAAGCAGAACCAUGUCACUAUCAAGAACAGAAGUUAUUCGAUGUGCAAUGGUUAUAACUGUACAGUCAGAGAAGUGUUGCCUAAUAGUUUGCUGAAUUAAAUUAUCAGUAGCUGUAUCAACCGAGGCAGUAGCUUCAUCAAGAACCAAGACCUUACUCCUCUUGAGUAGCACUCGCCCGAGGCAGACUAGCUGCCUUUGACCCAUACUCCAGUUCUCUCCAUUCUCAGUGACUGCAGCACCAGUAUGAUUAUUCACAAUGUAAAUCUAUGCCAGAAAGUUAAAAAGAUUCGCAUUCAACUAACAUGGUAUAAUAAGAAUAACAUACCUGUUGAAUCUAGCUUUUCCUCCUUCUUCCUAACCUCAUCUCCAAGUUGGCACUUAUCAAGAGCCUGGAACAAUUCAAUAUAUUUUAGCAUGCAUGUCCUUAGAAAUUAUUUGAUUUAGAAACAAAAUAUCAAUAAAGAAUCUUUUUAUUAAUAUUUAGAAUUGAAACAACCUACCUCCCAAAUUUGAUCAUCUGUGUACUCUUCAAGAGGGUCCAGGUUACUCCGUACAGUCCCUUCGAACAUGGUAGGAUCCUGAGGAAUAAUGCUUAUUCUUGAUCGCAAGUUAUGCAAACCAAUCAAUGAGAUAUUGAUGCCAUCUAUCACAAUCUGACCAGCUGCAGGUUCAACAAUCCGGAAAAUUGUUUGGAUGAGAGUUGAUUUACCACUGCCUGUUCUCCCCACAAUACCAGUUUUUUUCCCUCCUGGGAAAGUACAUGUGAGACCUCGCAACACGAGUGGCAUAUGAGGGGUAUACCGAACCUAUAUU
rnacentral:lncRNA from 1 species